rnacentral:rRNA from 1 species
AUUGAACGCUGGCGGCAAGCCUAACACAUGCAAGUCGAACGAGUGGCGGACGGGUGAGUAAUGUCUGGGAAACUGCCUGAUGGAGGGGGAUAACUACUGGAAACGGUAGCUAAUACCGCAUACCAUCGGAUGUGCCCAGAUGGGAUUAGCUAGUAGGUGGGGUAAAGGCUCACCUAGGCGACGAGCCCUAGCUGGUCUGAGAGGAUGACCAGCCACACUGGAACGUAGACACGGUCCAUACGCCUACGUGAGGCAGCAGUGGGGAAUAGUGCACACUGGGCGCAAGCCUGAUGCAGCCAUGCGGCGUGUAUGAAGAAGGCCUUCGGGUUGUAAAGUACGUUCAGCGGGGAGGCGUUACCCGCAGAAGAAGCACCGGCUAACUCCGUGCCAGCAGCGGCGGUAAUAC